rnacentral:rRNA from 1 species
CUAGUAACUGCGAGUGAACCGGGAAAAGCUCAAAUUUUGAAUCUGGCGGUCUUUAUGGCCGUCCGAGUUGUAAUCUAGAGAAGCGUCUUCCGCGCUGGACCGUGUAUAAGUUUCCUGGAAUGGAACGUCGUAGAGGGUGAGAAUCCCGUCUUUGACACGGACUGCCAGGGCUAUGUGAUGCGCUCUCGACGAGUCGAGUUGUUUGGGAAUGCAGCUCAAAUAGGGUGGUAAAUUCCAUCUAAAGCUAAAUACAGGCGAGAGACCGAUAGCGAACAAGUACCGUGAGGGAAAGAUGAAAAGAACUUUGGAAAGAGAGUUAAACAGUACGUGAAAUUGCUGAAAGGGAAACGCUUGAUGUCAGUCGCGUUCGUCGGGGAUCAGCCUUGCUCUUUUGCUCGGUGUACUUCCUGGCGGACGGGUCAGCAUCAGUUUUGUUCGUCGGAAAAUGGCUCGAGAAAUGUGGCACUCUUCGGGGUGUGUUAUAGACUCGGGUCGAAUACGACGUCCGGGACUGAGGAACUCAGCACGACCUUUGGGUUCGGGGCUUAGGCCCACGUUAACGUGCUUAGGAUGCUGGCAUAAUGGCCUUAAGCGACCCGUCUUGAAACACGGACCAAGGAGUCUAACUCGCAUGCGAGUGUUUGGGCGAUUAAAACCCGAGCGCGUAAUGAAAGUGAAAGUCGAGACCCCUGUCGUGGGGGGCAUCGACGCCCGGACCAGAGCUUCUGCGACGGAUCUGCGGUAGAGCAUGCGUGUUGGGACCCGAAAGAUGGUGAACUAUGCCUGAAUAGGGUGAAGCCAGAGGAAACUCUGGUGGAGGCUCGUAGCGAUUCUGACGUGCAAAUCGAUCGUCCAAUUUGGGUAUAGGGGCGAAAGACUAAUCG